AACAACAUGGACCUCAUCAAGCAUGGUCAGCUCAGCUGUUUGACUUUUCUUCUUUGGAUGAAAGGUCUAACUGAUGCCAAGGAUGUCACACAAACUCCCAUGCUGUGGGAACAACAGGGUAAUAAUGCAACAAUGGACUGCAGCCAUACCAAGGGUGCUUUCUAUGUCCAGAUGUACUGGUACAGACAGCUGCCAGGAGAAAAUAUGGAACUGAUUGUGUUCACGACAACAGCCAAAAAAUACGAUCACGACUUUGGAAAAUUCAGCAAAGAGAAAUACUCAGCCACAAAGACUGAGGUUCAUGAUGGGACAUUUACAGUGAAGAACCUGGAGCCAAAAGACAGCGGCUGGUAUUUCUGUGCCGUCAGUAAGCACAGUGAUACAGACUCAUGUGAAAGCUGAAC